GACAGAGGGUGCAAACGUUGUUCGGAAUCACUGGGCGUAAAGCGCGUGUAGGCGGCAAUGUAAGUCGGAUGUGAAAUCCCGCGGCUCAACCGUGGAAGUGCACCCGAAACUACAUAGCUAGAGUGUCGGAGAGGAAGGUGGAAUGCUUGGUGUAGAGGUGAAAUUCGUAGAUAUCAAGCGGAACACCGGUGGCGAAGGCGGCCUUCUGGACGACGACUGACGCUGAGACGCGAAAGCGUGGGUAGCAAACAGGAUUAGAUACCCUGGUAGUCCACGCCGUAAACGAUGAGUGCUAGGUGUCAGAGGCUUUGACCCUUCUGGUGCCGAAGCUAACGCGUUAAGCACUCCGCCUGGGGAGUACGGUCGCAAGACUAAA
rnacentral:rRNA from 1 species